rnacentral:rRNA from 1 species
GACGAACGCUGGCGGCGUGCUUAACACAUGCAAGUCGAACGGAAAGGCUCCAGCUUGCUGGAGUACUCGAGUGGCGAACGGGUGAGUAACACGUGGGUAAUCUGCCCUGCACUCUGGGAUAAGCCUGGGAAACUGGGUCUAAUACUGGAUAUGACCUUUCUCCUUAUGGGGUUUGGUGGAAAGUUUUUCGGUGUAGGAUGAGCCCGCGGCCUAUCAGCUUGUUGGUGGGGUGAUGGCCUACCAAGGCGACGACGGGUAGCCGGCCUGAGAGGGUGAUCGGCCACAUUGGGACUGAGAUACGGCCCAGACUCCUACGGGAGGCAGCAGUGGGGAAUAUUGCACAAUGGGAGGAAGCCUGAUGCAGCGACGCCGCGUGAGGGAUGACGGCCUUCGGGUUGUAAACCUCUUUCAGCAGGGACGAAGCGUAAGUGACGGUACCUGCAGAAGAAGCACCGGCUAACUAUGUG